CACGUAGGGGGCAAGCGUUGUCCGGAUUCAUUGGGCGUAAAGAGCGCGCAGGCGGUCGUUCAAGUCGCGUGUCGAAAGCCCCCGGGCUCAACUGGGGAGGGGUCACGCGAUACUGAUCGACUCGAAGGCAGGAGAGGGAAGUGGAAUUCCCGGUGUAGUGGUGAAAUGCGUAGAUAGUCGGGAGGAACACCAGUGGCGAAGGCGGCUCUCUGGUCUGUAACUGACGCUGAGGCGGCGAAAGCGUGGGGAGCGAACAGG
rnacentral:rRNA from 1 species